rnacentral:rRNA from 1 species
UACGUAGGGGGCAAGCGUUAUCCGGAAUUACUGGGUGUAAAGGGAGCGUAGACGGUAAUGUAAGUCUGGAGUGAAAGGCGGGGGCCCAACCCCCGGACUGCUCUGGAAACUAUGUUACUAGAGUGCAGGAGAGGUAAGCGGAAUUCCUAGUGUAGCGGUGAAAUGCGUAGAGAUUAGGAAGAACACCAGUGGCGAAGGCGACUUACUGGACUGUAACUGACGCUGAGGCAUGAGAGCAUGGGGAGCGAACAGG